AAGCAGUCGCCGCGGGAAUACGAAGGGUGCAAGCGUUACUCGGAAUUACUGGGCGUAAAGCGUGCGUAGGUGGUGGUUUAAGUCCGUUGUGAAAGCCCUGGGCUCAACCUGGGAAUUGCAGUGGAUACUGGGUCACUAGAGUGUGGUAGAGGAUUGGAGAGGUAGCUGGAAUUCUUGGUGUAGCAGUGAAAUGCGUGGAGAUCAAGAGGAACACUCGUGGCGAAAGCGAGCUACUGGACAAUAUCUGACGCUGAGGCUCGAAGGCCAGGGUAGCGAAAGGGAUUAGAUACCCGAGUAGUCCCUU
rnacentral:rRNA from 1 species